GAUGAACGCUGGCUACAGGCUUAACACAUGCAAGUCGAGGGGAAACGACGGGGAAGCUUGCUUCCCCGGGCGUUGACCGGCGCACGGGUGAGUAACGCGUAUCCAACCUGCCUCUGACUGAGGGAUAACCCGUCGAAAGUCGGCCUAAUACCUCAUGGCAUCGUCUGCGGGCAUCCAACGACGAUUAAAGAUUUCAUCGGUCAGAGAUGGGGAUGCGUCUGAUUAGCUUGUUGGCGGGGUAACGGCCCACCAAGGCGACGAUCAGUAGGGGUUCUGAGAGGAAGGUCCCCCACAUUGGAACUGAGACACGGUCCAAACUCCUACGGGAGGCAGCAGUGAGGAAUAUUGGUCAAUGGGCGAGAGCCUGAACCAGCCAAGUAGCGUGCAGGAUGACGGCCCUAUGGGUUGUAAACUGCUUUUAUGCGGGGAUAAAGUGAGGGACGUGUCCUUCAUUGCAGGUACCGCAUGAAUAAGGACCGGCUAAUUCCGUG
rnacentral:rRNA from 1 species